UACGGAGGGUGCAAGCGUUAUCCGGAUUCACUGGGCUUAAAGGGUGCGUAGGCGGGUUGGUAAGUCAGUGGUGAAAUCUCCGAGCUUAACUUGGAAACUGCCAUUGAUACUAUCAGUCUUGAAUACCGUGGAGGUCAGCGGAAUAUGUCAUGUAGCGGUGAAAUGCUUAGAUAUGACAUAGAACACCAAUUGCGAAGGCAGCUGACUACGCGAAUAUUGACACUGAUGCACGAAAGCGUGGGGAUCAAACAGG
rnacentral:rRNA from 1 species